CUCCCACAACAACCCACAUCAAUAAUAUUCCAGCUCCUGACUGACAGGAUGAAGGUGGAUGCACCUUGUGGAGAUACAUGUUGUGUUUUCAUGCUGUUUCCUUCAGCUCGUACUCUUGUCCUACACUGCUGGGUAACAGUGCUGGCAGUGAAUCUGGACAGACAUUGUUAAAGCAGUGAUGUAAUGUUAUAAAAGGCAGAAAUCUCAGCACAUUAAGUGCUUUUUGAGCCACUGGUAUUAAUGAACAUCCCUGCUAAUCCCCAUUCAUCACUGUGGCCAUCUUGUUCUAUGAGGGUAUAAAUCAUAACUGUUUCCACGUUAAACGGAAAUACCCGGUCUCUCCUUCCAAGUGUUGUAGGUUAGACGUCGAGCCGAGGUGAACAGGUGGCACCCUCAUUCCUCCACCCUGCUACCCUAUUCCACAGCCCCACCGCUCCUGCUGGGAGCUGCAUAGCUGACACCUUUGCUUUCUGAGUUCCUGCUUCGCAGCCAGGACAGAGUUGCUUUGUGUCCCAGCAGGGAGGCAACUUACCACGAAAGCCAGGGUGCCGUGCAGCAUGCCGACAGAAAAUUUAAAAGACUUUAACUGGAGGCUUUCUGACGCUGAGCGACGGUGACGAUAAACGCGUGCCUGCUGACAUUCGUACCAAAGCCACUGAUAUUAAACUUGAGAAAUGAC